rnacentral:lncRNA from 1 species
AUGAAGGGGAUACUUCUGCUGUGCUUGCUGGUGACUGGAGAGCUGAGCUUCCAGACAACAGAAGUAUGUGUUCUUUUCUUCAAAUGCUAUCCAAGUGCUCUCUCCGUAAAAAGAUUGUAUCAAGAACUCCAGGCAUUCAAUGCUACUGCAGGGGAAAAGGUGGCCUUUGAAAAAAUCCAGGACUGCUAGAAAGAGGGAGGAUUAAGAAACAUAUUUAUGGAACCUGAAAUUAUGGAAGCCAUGGACUCCAGCCCUGAGUGCAAGGCAUUCUAUAAUAGUGGCUCCAUAAGGUCCAUUUUAGACCUUCUUUCCAAGUUAUUAGAGGAAUAG